AAUAGAAAAAGUCUAACAAAAACACAGAGUAGACGUGGACGGGUACUUAUACAUCCACACAACUGAUAAACAGAUCUGAGAGGACUCGCAGUUCCUUUCAGCUAGUCCAAACCCAAUAACAACUAAUGAAAAAUUCAUGCAUCUAAGACUAUAAAUCAUUUUAUUAGAAAUCAAAAAUCUAUUAUCAUAUCAUCUCCUUUUCUCCUCC
rnacentral:lncRNA from 1 species